rnacentral:rRNA from 1 species
UAGUAUGGCCAUGCUACCCUGAACACACUCAAUCUCAUCUGAUCUCAGAAGUUAAGCAGGUUCAGGCCUGGUUAGUACUUGGAUGGGAGUCCACCUAGGAAGACCAGGUGCUGUAGGUG